UUGGGUGGAAAGAACGAAUUCAAAAUACUAGCAUACAAGUCUAUUUGUGAGAGAUUUUUGUCCCUUAAGGCAGAUAGCGAAAAGUCAAUCGAGAGCGUGCGUACUUGUGUUAUAAUAUCUCUGUUGCCAUGGAAAUUUGUUUCAAUGGUGAUUAUUUUGGAGGUGCUGCACAAUCCGCUGGACAUGGUGCAUAGGUUUCGGCGCCUCUUGCUGUCUACUGACAUUGGCAAUCCCAUAGGGUGAGUCGGUGAUCACGUGCUGCAGCACAAAGAUGGAGCCUGGGCCAUGGGUCCCCCUCUGGUCUGUGGCGUCAGUCAGAGAACGGAGACUUGUAGUCGGAGUGCCGGAGAGUCAAUGUUGAGUCACAGAUUGAGAUCCGGAUUAAAGUAUAAUAGUCGAAGUCUCUUUUUGAAAGCAAUGGUUCCUAUAUGGUCCCGACUAACAGUUCGAUUUUUUUUGUGUGUUUUAUUUCAUUUUAUUUACAGUGUAUGUACGCUAAUUAAUAAUGUACUAAAUAUAAAUGUUGUUUUUCAAAAGUAAACCGUUCCUUUUUAUCAUAUAAUCGUAUAUAAUAUAUAUAUAAUUUCGCAGUUUAGCAUUUUGCUGUCUAAAUUGUUGUUGCUGCACGUUGCGUUGCUUGUUCUUUUUGUUUUGUAUUUUUUUUUUUCCAAGAAGAUUUAUGUUUCGUUUAUUAUAAUUAUAUUUAUGUAUGUAUAUAAAUGUGGGGGUGUGUGGUGUAGGUGUUUGCAUGUACCUUCAUUAGCAGUAUCUUUAGGCCUAAAAACAAAAAAAAGAGUACUCUUUGCUUCUGAUUUAUCGUAAACCGAGAAAAAGUGCUUUGGAUAAAUUCUUAGCAGAAGAGGCAACAAAUAGAUCAAAGCGCUUCGUUUGUUUUAUGAUUUCUAGAUAAUAAAUACCGAAACAAAUAAUUGCUGGGGACAGGCACAAAACAGAAAAGGAAAAAAAAUGUACA
rnacentral:sRNA from 1 species